rnacentral:lncRNA from 1 species
GUUGGAUGAGAUUGGGUACAGUUGUUUGUCUAGGAGUUGAAUCCAUCUCUAUCCCUCAAUGUACAGAGACUCAGCCGAAAAGGAACUGAAAAAUGAAUGUUGGUAUGUGGACACAAGUCAUCAUUAUAUGAAUGCUCCUUUUUGGUUAUGCAUACUCCCCUUUGACAAAUUAUAUCCCUCUUUAAGUAUAAAUAAACAAAAAGGCGUGAAUUUAUUAGAUUUACUGAAAUAAUUCUGAUUGAUGGUUCACAAACAUCCAUCAAAUGUUCCUUUUACAAGCAAUUGCUUUGCAGCACUCUUCGAAUUAGCUGAUGAAUUACCAAGGAC